rnacentral:rRNA from 1 species
UACGUAGGGUGCGAGCGUUGUCCGGGAUUAUUGGGCGUAAAGAGCUUGUAGGCGGUCUGUCGCGUCUGCUGUGAAAAUCCGGGGCUCAACCCCGGACUUGCAGUGGGUACGGGCAGACUAGAGUGUGGUAGGGGAGACUGGAAUUCCUGGUGUAGCGGUGAAAUGCGCAGAUAUCAGGAGGAACACCGAUGGCGAAGGCAGGUCUCUGGGCCACUACUGACGCUGAGAAGCGAAAGCAUGGGGAGCGAACAGG